UACGUAGGCAGCAAGCGUUGUUCGGAAUUACUGGGCGUAAAGAGUGUGUAGGCGGUGCUCUAAGUCUGUCGUGAAAUCUCCCGGCUUAACUGGGAGGGUGCGGCGGAAACUGGAAUGCUAGAGGGUGGGAGAGGAAAGCGGAAUUCCUGGUGUAGCGGUGAAAUGCGUAGAUAUCAGGAGGAACACCAAUUGCGAAGGCAGCUCGCUGGGACGUUACUGACGCUGGAGACGCGAAAGCGUGGGGAGCAAACAGG
rnacentral:rRNA from 1 species